rnacentral:rRNA from 1 species
AACGAACGCUGGCGGCAGGCUUAACACAUGCAAGUCGAACGCCCCGCAAGGGGAGUGGCAGACGGGUGAGUAACACGUGGGAACGUGCCCUUCGCUUCGGGAUAGCCUCGGGAAACUGGGAGUAAUACCGAAUACGCCGUAUUGGGAGAGAUAUAUCGGCGAAGGAUCGGCCCGCGUUGGAUUAGCUAGUUGGCGGUGUAAUGGACCACCAAGGCUACGAUCCAUAGCUGGUCUGAGAGGACGACCAGCCACACUGGGACUGAGACACGGCCCAGACUCCUACGGGAGGCAGCAGUGGGGAAUCUUGGACAAUGGCCGCAAGCCUGAUCCAGCCAUGCCGCGUGAGUGAAGAAGGCCUUAGGGUUGUAAAACUCUUUCGCCGGUGAAGAUAAUGACGGUAACCGGAGAAGAAGCCCCGGCUAACUUCGUGCCAGCAGCCGCGGUAAU